CCCAGCGUCUAAUAAUACUCAUUCAAUCAGUCCUUUCCUUCAAUGAUGGGUACUGCUGAAAUUACUCUUUUAUCUUCUCUCUCUCUCAAACAAGACCGCCGAUUUCUAUUUAAAAUGCAAGUGGCAAUAUCAAAAUGUACCUCCAGCUUUUCAUGUCUGCUGGAGAAUCAAUCUUUUUGAUUCUGUAAUACCUCCUGUCACAGUUUCUGAGACAGACCAGCGGCAAGACACACUAAGCUCAUGCAGCAACAGUUCACUUUAUUCCCCUCUUGCUUCCUUACAUACCUUGGGAUCCCAUGAGGUUAAUCCUGGUCAGCCAGGCAAUAGAAGCCUGAGUCUCCAAUGGCCUGGGCCUGCUCUUACUGGUCGAAUUAUAUAAGUAAGUCAUGGGACCAGAUGCACCAGGAGGAUAGCAAUAACCUGAUCUAUAGUGGUGCUGAUUUCUUUUUAUUGUUUGUGGCAUAUACCAAAGGUAAUCAACAGACAUUAUAGUGAUCCUGUAGUAGCUUUGUAUAUUAGCUUACUAGGUGAAGCAUAAAUACUAAUAAGAAUUAAACAAUGCCCUAUUCUAAUCAGCAGUUUGAAGUGAUGGUGGUUUUAUUCAAAGUAUACAGAAAUGUGACUCAGUUCUCCUUGCUGAGAAGUUCUGCCAUGAUUAUUAAUGGUUACUUUACCAUAACAGGAAAUUUGGCUAAAAGCAAACGUAUAAAUUAAAGCCUAGAUUUUUAAGGAAGAUGUCAUAAUGAUAAGAGAAUUGCACUUAAAGGCAGGCAGAUGGGAGAUGCUCAAGGGGGCUGCUCAGCAGGGCAGUGUACAAGUGAGUCCUGCUUGCACAGACUGGACAUCUGUGUCUGGCAGCUCAGCUCUGUCUUUCCAGAAAGGAGGCCCUAAGCUAAUGAAAAGUGCUGCCAACAGCAGCCUACACAAACCCAUUUGACUGCCAAGCUGCAACAACAUCAGGCUGUGAAGUUGUUUUUCCCUGUUGUUGCCAGACUUAUGAAGGGACUAUCACUUUAAUGCCUUAUUUUAAUUUAUUUUUUUUUCUAACCACAAAUUAGCAAAUAUCUAUUUUCUUUUAAUUUACUGUUACAAGACCUAUGGGGCACCAGUGCCAACAACUCACAGAGCUCUACAUCUGCAUUUUUAUUUUACAGAGGAAUAAAACUCAAACAAAAAUAAUAAUCACUGAACACAUAUUUUCCUUUUACAAGCGAGGUUGGCAGUGGUCUUGUUUUCUAUGACAAGCCUUUAUAAACAGUCAGGAGAGACAGCUGUGCUCAGAAUUGUGCACCUGUAGCAGAAGUCCUCUCCCUCUUCCAGCUGAUUUGGGGUAAGAAGAUUUAAACACGCAAAAAAAAAUAUUGGCAGUGAUUUUUAAUUCCAUAGAAAAAUAAUAGAAACAUUAAACAUGCUGAGCACUGUCUCAAAGCUUAUUAGAAAGAGUUAUCAGCUUGAAAGCAAUUUAGAGAUACACACAUUAUACAGUACAUUCACUGUCAACAAGCAAUCAUACUGCCUCAAGUUGGGAAAUCACUGAAGUGAAGAACAUCAGUGGGGAAGUGAAGCCAGCUAGAGCUAGGAUGAGAAAGGAGGAGAGUUAAUAUCAAUUUAUUGACUUAACUGACUCUGAAAAUUCAGCACCUGCCUUCAACUCUAAGAUGUUUUAAUGCAAAUGCCAUAGGUUGCUAGCCUACCAUAUUUUAGGAUAUUACUGCCAGUAUGGAUCCUGUUACUGAGGAGCCUAAAUGUUUAUAGUAUCCAAAGAGGCCCAAAUAUGCCUUUUUAGACCUAACUUUAUAAUGGUCAUUAUCACCCUUAGGUCACUGAAGUGAAAUGCAUGUUAAUUUUUUCCUCAGAAGUUAAAUUUUGGUGUUAUUUUAAAAGAAAUGUGAAUUAAAAACUGUUGUUCCCCUCUAUAGGGUCCCAGUAGAACUACCUGCAGUCUUAGCUUUCUGGGGAAAUAGGUAGCCAAUUAUAAAGAAAUCUCUCUUGCUUCAAUUAAUUGCCCCUAUGCUACAGAGUUUUCUUUAUGUCUCCUAAGAACUCACAUAAUACUUUUAGUCUCUGGACUGCACCAUCUUGUAUUUUCUUAAGAGCGCCUUUCUUAAGACUGAAAUCUGGGCUUUCUACAGGCUGAAUAUCAGACAAGGCUCUUCCACAUUUGCCAUGUGAUGCUUGUGUAUGUCCCUAGGUCAGCUGUGAGCCAGCAAAGGCCAGGUGACUGUGCUACUGAGGUGCUGCCCCCAGGCUCACCCAGCCCACCCAGCUGCACUGCUCUUGCUCUUUUCCACGUGCCCCAGAUGAGAAGCCCUCACUCUUCGCCCAUUACCUGACCGUGCAACUUCUCAGACAUGUGUGUUUCCAACCACUGUUAAAGACCCCACAACAUCAUAGCUGUUCCCCACACCAGCUUGCAAAGCCAGAAUGCAACAUGUUAACUUUGAUGCAGCAGAAAUUCGUGAUGCUCAGGUAAUGCAAAUUGGCACUAAUAGGCACAGUGGUACCCUCCAUCUCUGUGUUCAAUGAGGGGUGAAUAAAUGCUUCUAGGAACACAAUAAAAUUUUUAACUGUCACUUCCUGUCACCAGAGUUUUUCUGAGCAGCAAUGCUGGAAAAUCUUUAUGGUGGAAUCACACCUCCACAAGUUACUUUUGGCUGUGGCCACUGCAGAGCUGUGCACCAUCUGUCAUGAAGGCAGCAGAGAGGAGUCUGGGAAUAGCAGCCCAGACUCAUGUGGGAAACACUGGCAUUGGCUAUGUGACGGAGCAACUGGGAGCUCCACGAGGCAGGCAGCAGCUUCCUAUUGUAACCUCCCGAGAAACGACAGCAGAGUCAUUGCUCAAAACAGAUCUGGGCUCUCAAGCAGUUGAAACAGCAGCACAAUGAGAAAAGUUGUAGCAGGCAAUUCUCCGGUCUUGCUCAUACAAGUACCCCUAAUCUGUUAUUGCAAGCAAGAGCAGAUCCUAUGCCUUCAAGUGCUUUUUCUCCCCAGACUCUUAUACCCUGCCAUUAACAAACAUUACAACAUGUGGAUAAAAAAGUCUUUUGGCACAGAGCACGUGUUUGUGAACGACAGUAACACUCUUGAAUUCUCUUAUUAUUAAUGGAAUAUGGGAGAAAUCAGAUGUGCCCAGAAAAGAUACAUAUCAAGGGUUUGUGGUAGCUUUAAGCUCUAUCUACUCAGAAAUCAAAGAAAAUAAACUGUGAAUUUACAGCUAAUGUCUCCAUUUAAUAUAGUUUAGAAAGCUGAGUUUAAUCUCACAUGCUGUGUUGUAUGUACAUCAGGCUUCAUUAUCUAUGCAAUGGGAAAUUAGCAGGAGUUAAUGCACAGAAGGAUAUUUGGCAUCUGUUUGAAUCAGGAGCUGAUCAGGUUUAGAGAGUAGCCUAGAAAAGAGAAGACUAGAAAAAUCCUAUAGGACUAUAAUGCAAGCAAAAAAGCUUAGUUCAGAGCCUUGUGAAAUCAGAGAGAAACUUUCAAUUAAUUUCAUAGUGAGUUGUGUAGACCUUAAGUAAAGAUUCAUAUGAUCUGAGUAGGAACUAACAAGGAGGGUGAAAUUACUAUGAACUCUACAGAAUUGGACAAAAGCCUUCUUUCAACAAAGAAAGAAAUCAGCUGGAGAGACUCUGGAGUUUUGUAAGGUUUGGAGGAAGAGUUGGAAUUCUCCCAAGAUUCACCAGAGGAUGGUAACUUUACACACAAGAUUGAUUUUAUAGAUCUUCUCUUAGUGAUAGAUAAAAAAUGUACUGGCCAGUCAUAGAUCGUGGUCUAGGUUUUAUCUAUAGUGAGGAGCAGCCAUAAAGCAAUUCAAUCCCUCUAUUUUUCACUAACAACAAAAGAAGACAAGAUGGCUGUCUUAUGCUGCAAGUCUUAAAGGACUACUAUGCGCAAAGAGUGCAACUAUCAGUUGUUAUUAAGCAGUGGCACUUGAAAGACGGUUUUGAAGAACUCAAAAGAUAAUCCAGGAUCUACUUCUUGGAACCUGUUGAGCAUUGUCUUUUUACAGAUUGAGUUGUGAUUUUGUAAUUGUAUCUCUUUUAGAGAACCGUUUACUUAAAAGAACAAAAUUACAUUCAAUUGCACUUUUAUUAGAUAAAAGGAAAGGCAUUUUCUGCAAAAGUGGCUAUUUAGAAAACACUGACAUUGUAAUUGUCUUUGUUUAUCCUACUGGAUAGAGCUUGACCAGGUGGAAGCUUCCUAAUGCAAAUAGCAAUGAUGAAAAUUGUUGAAUAUUUAAAUCUAGACAGUCCUCAUAACUUGUCUUCAUUGCUCUGAGAUGACAUAGUAGGAAAAAAAAAUAAUCUCAUAAAUGUAAAGCAAGGCCUUAGGCUGGGAAUUUGGAGGAAGGGUGGUGCAAAUUACCUGUAAGAAGUAGUAAGAAAGCCAAGAGAAUUCUAAGGGAAGUGUCAGCAUUGGGCUUUUUUAGACAUCACAUUUUUGGCAACAGAUCUUAACUUUGGACAGAUGGAUGGUUCUUUAAGGAUCAGAAUCUUCCAUCAGAAAGGAGCGCUUUAAAUUCAGGAUAGUGACCUGGUAUAGAGAGGUACAGCCUUGAUUUAUUUUCCUACUCUCAGCUAAAUGCAUAUUAGAUAAUUGAGUAUACAGAUAAACCAUUAUGAUGUGUUACACAGAGUACCUCCAUUAUAUCUAGACUUAAGUUGUGAUAAGUCUUGGAUAAACUAAGAUUUACCUUGACAAUGCAGUUUGAGGGUUCUCAACCAUGCUGAGCAGAUGAUUUCCUUGCAAGCCUCUGCUCAGCCAGAUCCAGUUAUCAACUAUAUCUCAACAUUAUUUAAUAGUCACAACUGGUUUUUAAUGCCACAGGCCCAGACAAAUAAAUGGGUUUGAUAUUCUCCUGCUUUGACACCAAGGCAACAAUGAAAAACCACUUGUCUUGGCCAAAAAUUAUUUAAUCAAAAAUGGUAUAUGCAUUGACAGAUAUUUGAUACUUCCAGAUGAUCUUCAAAGUAUCUUCUUGCAUCAUCUUGAAUAGGCAGGACACAUUUCAAUGUUUGCUGUUAAAAGGCCCAUUAACAGAUAUCAGUGCAAAGAGAAAAAAACAACUCUAUCAUGUUUAAAGACCUUUACUAAUUUAGAUGAAUUGGCAAGAAAAUUGAAAAUAGUAUUUAAAUGUAAAAAUGAAACAGUGGUGUAGUGGCUAAUACUUAAAUUAGGUUUUAAAAAAAUGUAUGAAGUUGAAUGCCUCAUAAGGCUAACUGGCUAAAUUUAAGAUACUAAGUGGUUAAAAGACUAAUAUCGAGCAAAAAAUCUGCUGUAAUGAAGGAGGGCAAGGGUUAGGAAUUAAAAAGAAUCUCAUAAAAUAGAAGCUGUUUCCACAUGAUAUGAUGAUAUAAGGCUCUGUGAGAUAUAAGGUGCUCUGAUAAUCCUUGAGGAGUGAUUCCACUUAAUCCUACUUUAUGCCACUUAAUUUAUAUAUUUUCUUGGUUCACCUGCUUGUAGCAAACAUUAAUACUGAUAAAAAACUAUAGUUGUGAUGCAGGGCAUCAUGACCAGAAAAAAAGAACACUUUUAAUAAAAUUCUGCUAUUGAAAUGGCUUCUAGCAGAUUGUACAUAUAUUUUUUCCAAUGUGAACUGUAGCAUAUAUUACACCUCUAAAAUUCAAAGGUGCCACAGUAUCUCUUCCUUACACCUAUGUUUAAAGAUAUAGUCACUGGAAUGAUAAGGCUCAUUUAAGAUUAACAUCCUCCAAGAGAAGUAAAAAUACUACAUUAAAAAACAGCUUCUGAAUUCUGAGAACAAAACUUGACAUGAAGAAAGAAAAUUUAAAAAUCAACAUUCAUUUUACCUGUGGACCUAUCUUGUAAAGAAAGUCACCUCUUUUUUCACCAACAUAAUAAAUCUUCAUGCAAGUACUUUAGUGUGACCAUCAGAAAAUUGAGAGCAAAUGUAUCUCCUACACUGAAAAAUGAAGACCUAACUGGACCAAACUAUUGUGAAAGUGAGCAGCUGUUUUGCAGCAUUGUGCCUACAUGUCCUAUCUCACCCUUCCUGUACUCAUGAAUCUUCAGUCCGUUUAUUCCAGACAGCUGAGGGCAAAACUCUAACUUGACUCCUACAAAGUGUUUCAGGCAGCUGAAAAUGGCUUGCUGAUAUCACAAGGGAAAAGAAAAAUGUUGCUUUUCAAGCUUCUCUUGAAACAAGUAAUUUAUUUUUCUAUUUUAAUCUGAAGUUUAAUCAAAUCAAACCAUAUGAAUGGGGAUGUCUUCACCAGUUCAAAACUUUUACUUAAAGACAGGUGGUUUUCCUGUCUUGGUUUGAAAAGAAAGGUGUCUGCUAAGGAAGGCAGGAGCCUCUCUUGAAAUAAAAACUCCCUCUUUCUGAAUUAUUACAAUUUUGAAAUCAAAGGGCUCUCAGGCAAAGAUAUGGGAGUAGGAAUAACAGUUACUUAUUAGGAAUAGCAAAAAUAACUUUUAAAAAAGCAGUAAUACAAAACAACACUGAGAGUCUGAAUACGACCUGACACCCUGUGGGUCAGGGCGUUGGAAGCAGUCUGAUUAAAGAGCGGCUGCUGUCCUCCUGGAGUGACAGAUGUGGUUCUGUUGAAGCAGUGAUCCUGCAGAAGGGUGUGGUUUUCCUCUGAAGGUCUGGUGGUGGUGUAGAUGGGCCUGGGAAUACAGUGGGAAAAGACUGGGUGUGGUGUUCCAAAUAUCAGAUUAUAUCCAGGUAGGAAUGCUUGGCUCCUCCUCCUGGGAGGAGUUUCUCACAAUGGGAUGAUGUAAUUUUAUUAGUCAUGCAGGGACAGUCACUGGCCCAUUAACAGAAGAUAUCUCCCCAGAGGGAGGAUGGGUUGUGGAAGAGAUAAAGCAAACUGCCCCACCUGGUUUAACAGGUGGCCCAUUAACAGAAGAUAACUGCCCACCCCCAACAGAUGGCAAUAGAAUACACACCCUCGGCCACAUCUUGCAUUUGCAACCUAAUACAUUUCUUUAGAAGUAUACUACCAAAAUAGACACUCCUACACAAAGAUAUAAAAAAGUAGAAUUUUUUCCACAUGCAAUUUUGUUAUAUAGAUAAUGCAAUAUAAUUAAAUUAAAUAAAGAAGUCUAAGACAUUGCUGCAUUGUUAGAAAACAUUAUUAGAGAAUUUUAAAAAUUUAAAUCUCUUGCUAAAGUAGAAAUUUGACGGAAAUUUUACCUGGUUGUAAAAUUUGUCAGUGAUAUUUCCAACCAUUUAUUUUUGAUAAAAAUACCUUCUGAAUGCUAUCAGUCCUAUAUAAUCUCUCCAUAUCUGCAUAGAUAAACUAAAUAUUGACACAAACAGGUUGAGCUUUUAGACCAGGAUUUUCAACUCCAAGACAGGUGGUGACCCCAUCUUGAACCAUGCAGAAGCAUAAGUGAGAUAAGAGUCCACAGGUUAUCCUCCAGGUAGUAUUUUUGGUAAAUUAAGACAUGCUAUAGAACAGAAUGGGGUGAAAUGUGCUAAACCUACAAUAAUUAAAUUGUUCCAUUUUCUUCUUCUUAAAAAUCUUUACAUCUAAGGUCAGGUAGAUACCAGGUACUUUAAGGGUGAUACAGACCUCUCCCACAGGGAAAUUCUGAUCUUUGGGUACAGCCAGACAAACGUGUUACUGCAGGAGACCUUAAGGAGUUAACUUCUAACAGAAUGAAAAUAUGCAUGACCUAUAUUAAGACCUACUCCAUGGGAAUUUAUCACGAAAUUUUCUCCUUCACUACCAGAUAGGUGCUCUUCAUUGUGUAAACUGGCAAUUACUGGCAUGCUGGUCUCAUGACGUGUGUCUAAAUCAGCUUAGUCUGCAGAGACUCUUCUCUCUGUGCCAGUGCCAGGCACAUACCGGAUGCUGUUUAAGUGCUAAAGAGAGUCACACAGAUGAUAUUUGGGACAGUGAUCCGCCUGCUAUUUAUAUUUCAAACUGAGUCUAACUAAAUGGAUUUCUGAAAGCCUCUUAAGGAGGAUUUAAAGAAAGAAACAAAAUGAGUAGAAGAAACAAAACAAAAGAAAUGGGGAAAAAAUUGCAGAAAGGUGGGAGGUGUUUCAUCUGAAUAAUAGUUAUGUGCCCCAGUUUACUGAUUUGGUACUACAUUGGACAAAAUAACAAAACUUAAAGAUAAAAAAGGAAGGAAACAGAAACUUCACUUGGGAGAUUCUCACUUUCCUGAUUCCGGCAAGGAUAGCAUAUUAUUUUGCCUUAGGCCUAUGCCUCAGGGUUUCAAGCAGUACAGACACGAAAGAAAGAUGCUAACUAACAGAAACUAGAAGUGAAUUUCUAACAAAGUGCUAGCAGCUGAACACUGUAGGGAUAGUCUUAUGGCCCCACAUCACAUACAGGGUCUGAGUUGUGCUAAACUUAUCAAAAGGAGCAAGGAAAGGAGAUCUGUGAAUUCACAUGGCCAAGGAAAACAUACACUUCUGUAGCCACUUCAAUUCUUUUGACUGUCACCUCUUCCUUCUGACAAAGCUGAAUGGUGUACAUUUUCUGGCCACCAGGUAAAUUGCUUCUGUUUACCUGAAAAUUAAAUAAUGGGCAUCAGGGCUGAAACUUUAGCACAGCACUAGCUCUAUUUGUCAGGAGAAAGGAUGUAGAGAAAGUCUGCAGGAGAGCUAGAUGUAGCAAACUAUUUUCCCUUGAGAAAGGCAAACAUUAACUGAGAGUUUAAAUCUUUAACAUGGCCAGCUAACUAUAAACUAUCUGAGACUUGUUGAAAAGAUGCACUAGCUGUCAAUUUGAAGAAAAAGCCAGUGACAUGCAUAUGAUUUCACUACCCGAGGCUUUAUUUUAAAAAUGCUGAAAUAAAUAUCAAAAUGGCAUUCCUUGAAAAGUGUUUCUUUUAAGGAAUACUCAGAAGAAAAGUAACUUGAUUUAUAAGCACGAUUGUUUGUCAAGAAUCCUAAAUGCUGCUCCUGCAGAUCUUCUUACACUUCAUAGUAAAUGAGGUUCAUAUUCUGCUAAAUACAUUCAUAUUAAAACUGGGUAAUAUUUAAUGAAUCUGUUUUUACCUACUUUUUUUCCUUGAGUAAAUGUAUUUAAUUAUCAUUGUAAGUCAAUUCUCGUGAGACAUAAAAGAGAAAAUGAUACUGAAAUAAUUUACAUUCAUGUACUUGAAUCAUCAUAGAAAUUCCUUAAAAAUAAAGAUGUCAUAGACUAAGAAUGCCUUAUCAAUGAGAUAUUUCAAUGUGGUCAUUUGUUGGAUUACUGAUUCCUCUGCGUCAAUUCAAUUUCUUAAAGAGAUUCAAGUUUUCUCACAACACUUCACUUAUUUAUAUGAUGCUUAAAUCUCAUUCACCCACAAGUCAACUUUUUCCCUAAAUCCUCAAGCAAGUGUGAUUUUGAGGCUUUUUUUUCCACUGCUCUUUUUACAGAAGUGGGCAAUGUGCAUUUAGCAUUAGUGCCACUUAGUCUAGGGUUUGCUGAAGCACAGCUUUUUCCUGCUGAAGUGUACACAACCUUUAAAGUUCAACUACCAGCUUUUGGAGACUGUUAAAGACUCACCCUGCUUAGCAAGAGUUUUGCUUAACAUCUUGUAUUCUUCACCAUUUCUUUCCCUGACACUCCUAAUGCUGAAUUUCAUGGAAAUAGCUCUGUACAUCAGUAUUUGAAAUAUAAUUAUAACCACAGAACCAGAGUUACAGCUUCAGAGAGAAAAAAAAUAAGUGGAAACUCGCUUUCCUCUAUUAGGAAAGAACGGAAGUGUUGUGAAUAUUGUUCAACCAGUCACUUAUAAAUACAUUGUUGAUUUAAAAGAAAAUAAAACAGUAUAAAAUAGAAUAAAAUAGUAUUAAAAAUGAAAUGAAAUGAAAUGAAAUGAAAUGAAAUGAAAUGAAAUAAAAUAAAAUAAAAUAAAAUAAA